AGGGGUGUAGCUCAGCUGGUAGAGCACCGGUCUCCAAAACCGGUUGUCGGGGGUUCGAACCCCUCCGCCCCUGCCA
rnacentral:tRNA from 1 species